rnacentral:rRNA from 1 species
CAUGCUUACACCUGCAAGUCGAACGGCAGCGGGGAGAAGCUUGCUUCUCCUGCCGGCGAGUGGCGAACGGGUGAGUAAUACAUCGGAACGUGCCCUGUAGUGGGGGAUAACUAGUCGAAAGAUUAGCUAAUACCGCAUACGACUGAGGGUGAAAGUGGGGGACCGCAAGGCCUCAUGCUAUAGGAGCGGCCGAUGUCUGAAUAGCUAGUUGGUGAGGUAAAGGCUCACCAAGGCGACGAUCAGUAGCUGGUCUGAGAGGACGAUCAGCCACACUGGGACUGAGACACGGCCCAGACUCCUACGGGAGGCAGCAGUGGGGAAUUUUGGACAAUGGGCGAAAGCCUGAUCCAGCAAUGCCGCGUGUGUGAAGAAGGCCUUCGGGUUGUAAAGCACUUUUGUCCGGAAAGAAAUCGCACUUACUAAUACUAGGUGUGGAUGACGGUACCGGAAGAAUAAGGACCGGCUAACUACGUGCCAGCAGCCGCGGUAAUACGUAGGGUCCGAGCGUUAAUCGGAAUUACUGGGCGUAAAGCGUGCGCAGGCGGUUGUGCAAGACCGAUGUGAAAUCCCCGGGCUUAACCUGGGAAUUGCAUUGGUGACUGCACGGCUAGAGUGUGUCAGAGGGGGGUAGAAUUCCACGUGUAGCAGUGAAAUGCGUAGAGAUGUGGAGGAAUACCGAUGGCGAAGGCAGCCCCCUGGGAUAACACUGACGCUCAUGCACGAAAGCGUGGGGAGCAAACAGGAUUAGAUACCCUGGUAGUCCACGCCCUAAACGAUGUCAACUAGUUGUUGGGGAUUCAUUUCCUUAGUAACGUAGCUAACGCGUGAAGUUGACCGCCUGGGGAGUACGGUCGCAAGAUUAAAACUCAAAGGAAUUGACGGGGACCCGCACAAGCGGUGGAUGAUGUGGAUUAAUUCGAUGCAACGCGAAAAACCUUACCUACCCUUGACAUGCCACUAACGAAGCAGAGAUGCAUUAGGUGCUCGAAAGAGAAAGUGGA